GCUCUAGUGGCGCAGAGGUUAGCGCUUCGUGCUUAUAGAACGCGACGGUCGUGGGUUCAAACCCCUCCUGGAGCA
rnacentral:tRNA from 1 species